CCAGCACUUCACUACUUCAUUCAUCACUUUUCAUUUUCCUUCUCCCAAACCCACAGCACAGCAACAACUGAAGCUCAACUCUCCGCCGAUCAGCACCUUCAGUACAGCUCCGUGAACCGAUUUUGUUUCCGCGGGCUCACAAAUUUCUCUUCAGCAGACCCACAGCGCCGCGAUGGGUUUACUGUUGAACACAGGUCUGUGACUGUGAAGAAAAAGACCUUGAAGGAAUGUGUAUACAUGAAGAAGAAAGCUAAGCAAAACGCAACGUUUCAAUUAAUCUAGGUGGCAUCUAAACGCAACGUUUUACUUACUGAAGCUUAUUCUGUGGUUAAGUGAAACGGUGCGUUUGGACUGAUUUAAGAAUUGCUGAGCUGCUGGUUUAGGUGCAAGAUUUGGUUGGUGAUAAGCUUAACUACUUUUUAACUAACUUCCCCAAUCCUCCAGCAACUGUAAUCCGCAUAAUGUGGGGCGGUUAAGCUGUGUUAGGUGAAUAUAAAUCACUGUAGUUGGGUAAUUAUUCUUUAUGUAAUUCAGAAUUAUCAAUACAAGUUUCUAGAUUCAACUUU